GUAAUCAACAACUUAAUGUAUUGUGGAUCAAUGACGUCAAUCGCAAUCAAUUUGACUUAUUGAAUCACAUGACAAGGAUGGAGAAAGUGAGUUCAAAAGUUAAAAAGGAUUUCAAAGUUAUUGAUAGAAUGAAAUAUGGCUUCAGCCUUGUGAGAAAUGUUAAGAUCGAUUACAAAGGGACUAAGCUUAGUUAGCACUAUGUCACCUGCGAAUCAAGUUCUUUGGAGAACUUGCAGUAGGCUUCACUCAUGUUCCAUCGUUGUAACCAUGGCCAAUUUAUGCACUCUUAACUCAAGUUUCAAUGCUGAGAGUGGCAAUGGUACUGCAACCCUACAACCCUCCUUCACAACACUUUGGCUUUUGAGAAUAUCACCAUUUUGAAAGUCGGCAUCAUUCCUGACUUCCUGUGAUGUAUCCCAAGUGUCCAUAAAGCUCUCUAAUUAAAGGAUGGAGGCUCAAAAUGCCAUGGGAAAUAUGUUCAUGACUCAUGAGG